rnacentral:lncRNA from 12 species
AUGGUGGCUGGCCUCUCCCUGGGCACUGAGAGAGCAGGAGGCUCUCGCCUGCUGGUGGCUGCCGGUGGCCUUGUUGGCACCAGCGUGGUGGCAGAAGCUAGAGUGGGUGGCACAGGUUCUGGGUGGGUGGUCCCAGGAGAUUUUAGCCUUACGAUGGCUGAAGUUGAAACAGCUGAUGAUGGGGUGGUGCUGGAAGCCUUGGGCAUCUCAGCUGAUGAUGGUGGUGUGGCGGUGAAAGCCUUUGGCAGCUCAGUUGGUGAAGAGGUGGUAAUGGAGGUCUCUGACAGCACAGCUGGUGAUGAGGUGCUGGUGAAGGCUUUUGGUAGCACAGUUGGUGAUGGUGUGGUGAUGGAGGUCUCUGGCAGCGCAGUUGGUGGUGGUGUGGUGAUGGAGGACCUGGGCACAGUGGUAGUUGACAUUGUGGUGAUGGAGGACCUGGGCACAGUGGUUGUUGACGUUGUGGUGAUGGAGGACCUGGGCAUAGUGGUUGUUGAUGGUAUGGUGAUGGAGGACCUGGGCACAGUGGUUGUUGACGUUGUGGUGAUGGAGGUCUUGGGCUUAUUGGCUGUUGAUGGGCUGGUGCUGAAGGCCUUCUGCAGCACAGCUGGGGGUGGGAUGGUGACAAAGGCCUUAGAUGGCUUGGUUGGUGACAGAGUGGUGAAGGCAGCCUCCAUUGGCAUGGUUGGCAACACAGCAGAGGUGACCACAGGUGAAAGAGUGGUUGGCAGUGUCCUGAUGGGAAAGGAUGCCAGUGACAGCACGGUUGGUGCUGCUGUGGACAUGACUCCACGUGACAGGAAUGCUGACGUCCUUUGUGGUGGUGUGGCGUUAAAUGGCAGAGUUCCUGGGCACAUCAGGUGUUCAUCCCUCAGCAAUGUUACUGAUUGUCCUGCCAGAUGGGGUGGGCUCUUGCAGGAGACUUGGGUGGACAAUUUGACCUUCUCCUUGUUGCCCAGGAUCCAGCGGUGCAGGUAGCAGAGGUUGCAGUCACAUCUCCAUGGGUUACCACUAAAAUACACUGAGCUGAGCUUCUUCAGAGGGUCUAGGAGCCCUUGGGGAACACUCCCCAGCUCGUUCUUUCGAAGGUUGAGGGUUUUCAGAUUUGGGAGAGAAGCAAAGACCUCUUCAUCCAGAGUAGAGAGUUGAUUUGUGUCCAGCUGGAGGUCCAAGAGCUUGCUGAGCCCAGUGAAGACUCCUCUUGGCAGGGCUGAUAGGUGGUUGUGGGACAAGAUGAGUUUGCCAAGGGAUGUGAGGUUGACAAAGAUGCCAUCUGGAAGGGUGGCCAAACUGUUCCUGCCCAUAUCCAGCUCCCUCAAGUGCGGCAUGGUGUCAAAAAGGCAGCAGGGCAGCUCCACAAUAUGGUUUGAGCCCAGAGUCAGCAACUUCAGUUUGUUUAAACCAAAAAAGCCCUGAGGUGGGAGAACACUGAUGAGGUUGUUGUCCAAGAGGAGCUUCUCCAGGUGAGGCAGGUUCCUCAGAAGCAUGGGUGGCAGCGCCCUGAGCCUGUUGCUCUGGAGGCUGAGCUCCUGCAGCUCCCGCUGACUGUCUAGCAGUCCCUCUGGCAGGUCCUGCAACUCGUUCUCAUACAGCCUGAGGACUUGCAGCUGGGUCAGUUUGCUAAAGACAUUCACAUGAAGAGUUGUGAUCCUGUUUCUAGACAGGUCCAAAAAAGUUAGAUUGACAAGAGAAUCAAAAAUGCCUUCUGGAAGAGAAGGAAUUGCAUUGAUGUGCAGGGAGAGCUCUCCCAAACUUUCCAGCCCAUCAAACAGGCCUUUGGGGAUGGAUCUGAGCUGGCUGUCUCUCAGCUCCAGCCUCUGUAAACUUGGGAGGUUUUGGAAAGUGCCCACAGAUAGUUUUUCUAAUGAGGCACCAGAGAUGUCCAAGUCCCUCAACUUGUCCAAAUUAUCAAAGGCUCCAGGUUCAACAGUCUUGAUCUUGUUGCCAAUGAACAAAAUCUUGAUCAGGUUGGGCAUGUACCUGAAGGCACCUUUCCUUAUAGCAGUGAUGCUGGUUUGCACAAAGAUCAUCUCAGAAACAAAGGGCUUUGCAAUCUUUGGUAUCUCUUUGACAUCAUUUUUUGUCCCUUUGUAGACCUCCUGGUAGUCUUUGGGCAUUUCAUAUGGAUCUUCACCCAGGAUUUGACCUUGGCAAUUAUGGGGAUUGAAGGAGAGGAAGAAAAGGAAAAGGAAAUGCUGGUACAUUGUCCUGGAAAAAAAAGUUUCAAAAAUCAGUUAUGAAGAACAAGAAAUCUCUGUCCACAGCUCAUGACCUGUGGUAUCACACUGUUGUUCAGCUCUCAGGACUCUUCUAUUCACAUGUCAUGACUCCUUUCAUGAGAAAGAGAGACUGGACAAGUAAACAUAUCCUGCAUUUACACAAGUUCACUGCUGUUGUACCGAGGGAUGGAGAGGGAAAGCAAGCCAGCUCAUGGCUUGCACUGGGAGAUGCUGCAGGAGGGACAAGGGCUGGACAGCCUGUUCUCUGGCCCUUCUUCUCACGUGUUUGAACUGGGUGAAGAAGGCAAAGUGCUGCUGCCCAUUAGUGCUGCCCCAGUGGGUCCAGUUAGUCAGCAGGGCAGCAGCCCAUUCAUGCAACAACAGAAGCAGUCAGCCCUGCAUUUGCUAAUGAGGGAUCAGCAAGGCUCCCAGGAGCCAGCCAAGACCAGAGGACCUUGUGUGCUUAGAAUUUCCACGCUGUGCUGGGUAGACUUGUUAUUUCAUAGCUGCUUCUCUCAGUUCAGGAGGCUGAUUUAAAACAUGGUUUCUAAGCAUCUCUUUUUCAAGAUUCUUGCUAAUUGCACCGUAUUUUGGCCUUGGUUAUGCAGCUCUGACAGACAGAAAUAGUUAACCUGUGAACAGCAACCCAGCUUUACAGCAAGGCUCAUUAAAACCUUGGAAUGUCCACAGAUGAACUCUUUAACACCUAACAUUUGGGGUCUGACCUUGCAGGUAGGAAGUGAAAUCACUGAUGCACACCUACUAGUAGAGCCCACUUCUUCCAUGGAAGCAUUUGGAAACACUCAGCUAAUACUUUACCUGGGGUUUAAGUGCCAGGAACACCUCACUGGGACCGUAUCUCCC